rnacentral:rRNA from 1 species
GACGAGGCACCACGGUGCUGAAGCAACAAAUGCCCUGCUUCCAGGAAAAGCCUCUAAGCCUCAGGUAACAUCAAAUCGUACCCCAAACCGACACAGGUGGUCAGGUAGAGAAUACCAAGGCGCUUGAGAGAACUCGGGUGAAGGAACUAGGCAAAAUGGUGCCGUAACUUCGGGAGAAGGCACGCUGACACGUAGGUGAAGUGGUUUACCCAUGGAGCUGAAGUCAGUCGAAGAUACCAGCUGGCUGCAACUGUUUAUUAAAAACACAGCACUGUGCAAACACGAAAGUGGACGUAUACGGUGUGACGCCUGCCCGGUGCCGGAAGGUUAAUUGAUGGGGUCAGCGCAAGCGAAGCUCCUGAUCGAAGCCCCGGUAAACGGCGGCCGUAACUAUAACGGUCCUAAGGUAGCGAAAUUCCUUGUCGGGUAAGUUCCGACCUGCACGAAUGGCGUAAUGAUGGCCAGGCUGUCUCCACCCGGGACUCAGUGAAAUUGAACUCGCUGUGAAGAUGCAGUGUACCCGCGGCAAGACGGAAAGACCCCGUGAACCUUUACUAUAGCUUGACACUGAACACUGGUCCUUGAUGUGCAGGAUAGGUGGGAGGCUUUGAAGUGUGGACGCCAGUCUGCAUGGAGCCAUCCUUGAAAUACCACCCUUUAAUGGCUGGUGUUCUAACGUGGGCCCGUGAACCGGGUUGCGGACAGUGUCUGGUGGGUAGUUUGACUGGGGCGGUCUCCUCCUAAAGAGUAACGGAGGAGCACGAAGGUUGGCUAAUCCUGGUCGGACAUCAGGAGGUUAGUGCAAUGGCAUAAGCCAGCUUGACUGCGAGCGUGACGGCGCGAGCAGGUGCGAAAGCAGGUCAUAGUGAUCCGGUGGUUCUGAAUGGAAGGGCCAUCGCUCAACGGAUAAAAGGUACUCCGGGGAUAACAGGCUGAUACCGCCCAAGAGUUCAUAUCGACGGCGGUGUUUGGCACCUCGAUGUCGGCUCAUCACAUCCUGGGGCUGAAGUAGGUCCCAAGGGUAUGGCUGUUCGCCAUUUAAAGUGGUACGCGAGCUGGGUUUAGAACGUCGUGAGACAGUUCGGUCCCUAUCUGCCGUGGGCGCUGGAAGAUUGAGGGGGGCUGCUCCUAGUACGAGAGGACCGGAGUGGACGCAUCACUGGUGUUCGGGUUGUCAUGCCAAUGGCACUGCCCGGUAGCUACAUGCGGAAGAGAUAAGUGCUGAAAGCAUCUAAGCACGAAACUUGCCCCGAGAUGAAUCUUCCCUGAGCCUUUAAGGCUCCUGAAGGAACGUUGAAGACGACGACGUUGAUAGGCCGGGUGUGUAAGCGCAGCGAUGCGUUGAGCUAACCGGUACUAAUGAACCGUGAGGCUUAACCUU